AGCAUUACGUGAAAGUUCCCCCUAGAAGUCCAAAGGCAGCUGUUUUCUUAGCAGGAGGAAGUCAGGAGGAGGCAAAGCGGGCAAAGACAUCAGAUAAGUCGGGAUAAAAUUCUUGGCUAACCUGUUUUUUCCCCUUCCUCCAGACAGCCAGUUCUGAAGCACUGAGCAGAGAUCUGCCCGGGAGGAAGAGCAGAGCCAAUCUCUGAGAGCUGACGCGCGAGCUGCGGUGAGGACAGCUGCUCCCUGCCUGCAGCCUGCCUUGGUGUGGGAGCUGCUGAGCUGCCAUUCCUGUGGUGGGAGUGUUUCUCCUCUCAUUGAGCCAAGCCAGAGACCUGCUAGGGAAGGAGCAGACUCAUCACGGCAGGACGGCGUGAAGGCUGAAAGCGUAAGAAGAUGUGGAGGGAAGCAGAGAAUCUGACAGGAGCAUCGAACGCGCGAGCGCACGAAUUUUGCUUUUUGCUUGGGUGUAAACUCAGGAGUUGAAAGGAAUUUGGGAGUGAGAAGGGACAUUUCAGAAGGUGAAGAAGAAAAAGAAGUUGUUGUUGUUGUUACAGGCCUGGCAAAAUCUUUUGUUCUAGCUAAUAAAAGAAGUUAGUUUAAAUAAAAAAAAGAAAAAAAAAUGUAGUUUUUCUUUACCUGACUGUUAUAUUCAUUGGUGGUAUAUGGUGUGUUGUUUAAUUUCUUGGUAUGAUUAACUCAGUGUAAGUUGUUUUUUGAGUGAACUAACUUUCUGGAUGGGUUGGUUUGUAUUUGAGACAGGAUUGAUUUCAAUAGGUUUCUUUCAUAGACUUGUGAUAGGUAUUACUGGGGUUUUGGCUUUGUUUACUGUAUGCAUAAACAUACAGCUUUGGUUGGGCCAGCUGGGCUGCCGGAGUUUGUGGGUGUGAAUUUAUUCGAUGGCUUUUGUUAAAUGCAGUGUUUAAUUUUUGAAAGGUUUUUCAAUGUAGUGGUUUUAAGGUGGUUUUUAGAAUUGAUUGUAUGGUUUGAUGUUGUUUAUAGUUGCUGUCCGGUAAGGGAUGUGGUGUGAGUACUUGAACGUUAUGGUUUUGGUUUUCCUAAGUUCCAUUUUCUUUCUGGUUCGAUAGGUUUUUUUAGUUUUAUUUUUGGUGCCAGGGGUAUUCACGUGGUGGGUUUUUAUAGGCAAUAUGUUUUUUAAUUUGGGUAGUGAUAUUUUUUAGUAUUUUAACAGUUUAGAUUUUUUAUUUUUAUGCUUUGAAUUAGUUUUCUUUUAAUUUUAAAUUAAGUUUUAUAGAUGAUUGGUUUUUAUUUGUGCAUUAGCAUAAAGGUAGAGCUUUGGGUGCUUCUUUUAGUACUGUUUAGGGUCAGUUGUACAGUUUUGAGUCUAGUGAGUUGGUUUGAUUUAAUUUUUAGUGGGUGUUUGUUUUUCUUAGCAGUUGUGUCAUUUUCAAGGUGUAUUUGAGGUUUUUGGGGAUUUUGAGAUAUUGGUUUAGGAGGACGUUUAUGAUGAGCAUGUGCGCAGGUUUUGGGCUAGUUGAAGUGGGAUUUAAAAUUUAUUUUGGGUUAGGUUUAUUUGAGUGUUUAUGAGGGUUCAGUGUUGUGGGAUGUUUGUUCCGUUAGUGAUAAAAAUAGGUUUUGUUUUGAUGUGCUGCGAUGGGAUGAGCGUGUGCUGCGUGCCGGUGCUGACAAAGGUAUAUUUCGAGCGGGGCCGAAUUGUUCGGUAGAGGCGAAGAGCCGACUUGAGCCGAACAGAGCCGACUUGAGCCGAAGAGCCGAGUGUGGCCGAACAGAGCCGACUUGAGCCGAAGAGCCGAGUGUGGCCGAAAAUAACCGAGUUUACACCAAGAGCCGAUGAUAGCCGACUGGAAUCGAUAGCCGAGGGUAGGCGACACUGGCCGCAUUUAGACAAUGCGCCGAGUGUGACCGAGUUUAGCCCAAGCGUGCCGAGUUGGGCCGAAGAGCCGAACUGAAACGAGUUUAGACCAAGAGCCGAAGCAAGCCGAAUUGAGCCGAGUUUCUUGAAACAGAACCGUAGGACGCCGCAGCGCUCUCCCUGCAGGUCUCCGGAUCACACGGCAGGGGGCGCUGUAUAAAGUAAGUAUAAAAUAUCAACUAUCUAUAAGAAGGAAUAAAAGCUCUAUGUCACGUACAGCAGUAGAAAAUUUCAGGCUGCCAGGGAGUAAAUAGUUUUCUUUACAUCAUUUUCGUUUUGCAGUUUUUUUUUACUGCCAGGUAGCCCGAAAGUUUCUAGUGCUGCUUUUUUAUUCUAAAGCUAGAAAGGAAAACCAAGAUUAGACAUAGAGGGAAAGAAGGAAAGAAAAGGAAAACAAGAAAAUAAGGAAUGGAACUGAAAGGAAGAAAGAAAGAAGGACAGGAAGGCAGGAAGGAAGGAAGGCAGGCAGGCCAAAGAAAAAAAACCAAGGAGGGCAAGGAGAAACGCAGGGAAAAAAAAAAAAAAAAAAAAAAAAAAAAAAAAAGGAUAAAGACUUGGAGAUGCGCAAGAAAAAACCCAGAAAAAAUCCCCAAGAUGGGCAAGAAAUAAAAUCAGAAAAAAAAAAAAAAAAAAAAAAAAAAAAACAA